CGGUGAUCUAGCCAUGGGCAGGUUGAAGGUUGGGUAACACUAACUGGAGGACCGAACCGACUAAUGUUGAAAAAUUAGCGGAUGACUUGUGGCUGGGGGUGAAAGGCCAAUCAAACCGGGAGAUAGCUGGUUCUCCCCGAAAGCUAUUUAGGUAGCGCCUCGUGAAUUCAUCUUCGGGGGUAGAGCACUGUUUCGGCUAGGGGGUCAUCCCGACUUACC
rnacentral:rRNA from 1 species